rnacentral:lncRNA from 1 species
GAAGAACCUUGCUUCCUUUUUUCUUCUCUCUGUUGGCUAAGGAGUAAGUAUGUAUUAGCCAGGCUCACCAAUCAGGAGGUACAUCCAUUUUACAACUUUGACUCCAGAGGGAGAGAUGAAGGUAACUGAGGCAGGUAAAAACAUUCAUAGAGGCAGUGGGGUGGCAAGAGUACAGGUGCACUGUUAAUAGUGUUUUAAAUGGUCUAUUCCUUUAGAAUGUUUUGGCUACAUUUUUGACAUCCAGUUUCCCUUGAUUCCUGCUUAUUUCCUGAGGCUGGUUGUCCAGUAUUGCCAACUGCUGUAUGAUUUGCCCAAGAGUGUGAAAAUAAAUUCCGUUUAUGUAUCCGUCAGCUAGAAGUGAUUCUAUUGCUGCAACCAAAAACCCAUGUGGUUCACAUCACUUGUCUUGGAGAAGUAUACGGGAAUGAAUAUGAAAUGGCAUAUAUCAAAGCUAUUUAGUGAAAAUAAUUUGUCUUUGUUAAAGGUAUAUGUAUGUAAAUUGUUAUAAUUGGGUCUUAGAAUUUCUCAAUUGGCUAAAUUUUUUAAAUGACUCAAUUUUAGUUGCUAAUGAACAAGACAGUUCUUGGGAAAAUAGGUGCAUUAAAUGCAGCUUUUCUUGGAUCACUAUAAAAAAAGCUAAUAGGCUAUAUGCUUGAGGUCAAUUUUUUUAAAUGAUGAUUUGAUUUCAGUACCAAUAUACUCUAAAUCGCUGGCAUCUAGAGUCAUGCAUUCUUGGGCUGGAUUGUCUGGAUUUAAUAUCUGGAUCCACCAUUUACUGCCUCAUUAAUAUUACUGAGCUUCUGUUUGCUUAUUGACAAAAAGGGAAUUAUAGUCGUAAGUUCUUCAUAGGGUGGGUGGAAAGCUGAAGUAACAUUAUAUGUACAGAGUUUAGAAUGAGGCCUUCUUCAUAGUAAGUAUUAUAGAAGGGGCAGUUCUCCCACUCUUUCCCCUCCUCCUCUCCAUUGCUGUUGUUGUUGUUAUUUGCUAGCUAACUUGUACUAGUAUAUAACAUUGUCUUUAACUUCUUUUUUUAGAAUUAAAAUCGCAAGAACAUAUCUGGGCUUAUAAUCUGUAAGCCAUAUUGCUGUUUAAUUUGUUAUAUUUAUAACACUGUCUUUUUGGCCUUUAUGUGUGCUGUUUAAUAAAUUAUAUAUAUAAAAUGGUUACUAUCUAAAAAGUAGACUUACAUGCUAAAAAUUAGCCACAAUAUAUUUCUACAUUUCUUAUAGUUAAAUGCUUCUUUUCCAAUAUGCUUAGAAAUAUGGCUCAAGUAGUUAAUGUCUAUAAAUUAAGUAGAGAUAAGAUUUGUAUAAUCAAAUGAGAUAAAUCAAUUUUAUUUUAGAAGUAUUACACAUAGCAUUUUAAAUUUAAUAAAACUUGGAGAUGGGCUUUUAAGGAAUUUCAAUGUAUUCCUUUUUAAAAUACUGAAUGUCAGACUAACACUGUAAUAUGAUAUUGUUAAUGUAGAGGCCAUUUUGACUGAGUCUAUAUUAUACCAAACAAGAUGGGAUACUCUGUAUGGAAUAAACUAAGUAUUUUAUCCAGUGGCAAGAAAGAAAUUUGAAGGUCAGAAUUUACACUAUUUUCCACUUCCAGCUCUCCAGUAGCAUUUUAAAAACACACUCAACACAUUUUAUCUGCAAGGAAAUACCAAUCUAGAGAAGAAAAUAUUUUCAAUUCACAAUUCUUCUGACAGCUUCAAGGGCAAAGUAUUACAGAAGUGUUCUGAAAAUUUUAGGAGAUGUAACAAAGUGAAACAAGAGCUGUGCUUCAGAAUAAUGAACAAGAUAUUGUGGUUCAUAAACGUAUCCUAUACCUAAAUACCAAGGAGUGUCAUUCCUUAAGUAUACAGUCACUGUUGCCUGAAUAUAAAGUUUUCCUUUUUUUUCCCCCUGAUGGUAGUGAUGGGAUGGACUAUAUCAUACAAAUCAAAUUUAGUUUAAUUAUUUAGUUACUAACGUAUGCUGGAUAAUAGAAGGGCAGAGGGUAAUCAAAGAGUCUGUGCAUGUACAAAAAGUCAAAAAGGCUGCAACAUGGUUUGUGUCUCUGAUUUACUUUAUUAUUUUCACAUUUUCUUUCAGUGACUCUUUGAAAUUGAAUGUGCAGAAACAAGAUCUAGGGUCAGAUUCAGUUGACACAGAAGUGCCCUAACUCUUAUGGGUGUUAUUACAAGCAUUUCUCAAACAGCUCUGAAAUUUAAAUAUUAACUAAAGUAUUUCCAUCCACAUCAUAAUUCUAUAAGUUCUGUUUUGUAAAAACAGCUUCUAUUCACUUUACAGUAUCUGGUAGAUGGAUGUGGCAGAUAUCUGGGCAGUAAUAACCCAGACCUGAGUUCAAAUUGUAGCUUCCCUACUUUUUAGCUGAGUGAAUUUGAGCAUAUUUAACCUCUCUAAUUCAUAAGAAUGACUACUGAAAUAGUGUUGAAUUGUUCACAGGUAUAGAUGUAUAUAAAUGUCUAUAAGGCCAUAUAUGUAUUAGCUACACAAUAAUUUGUAACUUCUUUAACUAACAUCAUUAUUGUUGAUUCCAAUAGAACCCACUGGUAUUUUAUUCUUAUGUAUUUCUGGUGCUAGUUUGUCUUACUACAAAACAGAUGAAAUAGGUUUUAUUAGUAUAAAACUAUAAAAUUAUUUGAAGGAAGAAAAUUUCCUUGCCCAAAGAAGGAAUUUAUAGCAAACAUUAUAUUUAAUGGUGAUAGAGUGAAAACAUUCUCAAUAAUAUUUGGGAAAAGACAAAAUCCCAGAAGAAACAUUUGGUUUUUAACAUUUUUUUGAGAUUUCUGGUCAAUACAUUAAGUCACAGAAAUAAAUGGAAUAGAAAGAUGAGAAAGGAAAAGAGGUAAAAUUGCUAAUAUUUGUAAAUGAUAUUAUUUCUGGACAUUUAUCCAGGAGUCCAAGUUAAUUAUCUAACAAGGCUUAGAACUGAGUUUUACCAGUCUUUACAUAGCUUAUGUGAGUUUUAAGGUUGGCUAGAACAACAACUUGCUCCACAAUUCUGCUUGAUAUAAAUGAAUGAGCUGAUAAAGCUAUUUAGUUUCUUACAGAGGAAAUAUGUUCCAGAAAUGAUAGUUACAAAAUUAAGUUAAAAUAUUGCUUCAUCAUAAGGACAAACAUUGUAGACUACCUAGAAAUAAUCUUCAAGAGAAGAUUCAAGAUUUAUUUUUGUAAAGGAUACAAAUUUAUUCAAGGCAAAAUAAAGAAGAUUUGUGUAAAUAGACAGAUAUACUAUGUUCAUAGAAGAGAGGAUCUAAUGUUAUAGUAAUUAAUUAAUAUAUAAGUCAAAAUAAGUUCCUGACACAGUUCAAACAGGUUUUUGUGGAACAUGACAAGCUGAUCUUAAAUUCCUAUGGAAGAGAAAAGAAACAAUAGCCGAUACUCUCUUGAAGAACCAGGUAAUGGGAAUCAUCUUACCUAUAUCAAAAUGUUCUAAAGAUAUCAUUUUAAAACCUGUGUUGGUACAAGAAUAGGUAACUAGAUGAAUAAAAUAGAAGGUUCACAUACAGAACCAUGUAUAUGGAUUUAUGAUAAUUGUAGUAUUUCAUAUUAAUGGAGAAAAAGUGAAGCAUUCAAUACAUGAAAUUUGCAUUAUUGAUUCUACAUUAAGAAAAGAAACCAAUCCCUAUUUCAUACCACUUAUAAAAUAAUUUUCAACUGGAUCAUAAACCUAAGAAGGCAAGCUAUAAAAUACAGAAAGGACAGCAACAAGUGUAUUUAUGACUUUGGGUGUAAAAACGACCCUGUUUAAGAAAGGCAUAAAAAAAAAUCUCCAACAGGUGACUAUACUUAUUGUUGUGAACAGUGAAUACUGUGCAGAAUUAUAAAAUCACUACGUUUUCCACCUGAAACCAAUAUAGCAUUGUAUAUAUCAAGUACACUUCAACUUAAAAAAAUUCCCAAAAGAAACUAAUGAUAAUUCAGACCUGGUCAAAGUAAAAAACUUCUCUAUCAAAACAAAAACAAAAACAAAACAAACACAAAACCCUAAAUGAAGUUUAAAAACAGGUGACUGACUAGAAGAAAAUAUAUAUUAAAAUAAUUUCCAGAUUUUUUAAGUUAAUAAGGAAAAUAUUAAUACUCUGAUAGAAAAGGGGCAGAUAAUAUGACUGGGAAAGGAAAUAAAAUGCCCAAUAAACCUAUAAAAAUGUUCAAUCUUACUAAUAAUUAAUGGAAUCCAAAUUAUAGCAGGUGAGAUGCCAAUUUUUCUCAAAUAUCAGAGUACCAAAAAUUGAAGUUUGAUGACAUCAAGGUUUGGCAAACAAAUGGUAAAAUGGAUAUUCUGAGACAUUAAAGGUUGGCAUGUACAAACAAUAGAGUCAUAUGAAAGGCAAUUCAUCAUUAGAUCCUAACAGCAAAAGUAUACUCAUUCAUGACACAGUAAUUCCACUUUUCAGUAUCUACCUUUUAGAAAUAUCUUUCCACAAGAAGGAUGUUCAUUGCAGUAUUUUUUCCACAAGUAGAAUGUUCACAGCAAAAUGGGAAGAACUUAAAAGACAUCAAAAUGUGGGGUGGGGGCGAGAUUAAAUAAAAUUUGGCUUAUCCAUUCUAUGGAUUGCCAUCCACAAAUUAAGAAAAAUAAUGGGGGUACUUGGAUGGCUCAGUCAGUUAAGCAUCCGAGUCUUGGUUUUGGCUCAGGUCAUGAUCUCAUGGUUCACGGGAUUGAGCCCUGUGUAAAAAACAAGUUUCUUACAGAGGAAACAUAUUGUGGAGUCUGCUUGGCAUUCUCUACCUCCCUCUCUUUCUCUGUCCCUCCUUUGCUCUCUCUCUCUCACAAAUAAAUAGACAUUAAAAAAGGAAAAAGAAUGAAGAUCCUUACAUACCAACAUAGAUGACUAUCCAAAGCACAUAUUUUUUAAAAAAAUAAGUAAAAGAUACAUACAGGAUGAUGACAUACAAAACAAAACAAACAAACUCACAAAAUACUAUAUAUUUUCUUUGGAAAUAUAUGUACAUGUAUGUAUUUGUGUGCAUGUGUGCUCUAAAGGGACCUUAGAACUCUCUGAAAUAAUUUUUAUUAUUUCAGUAAUAAUCAUUAAUUAAUUAUCUCAAGUUCAAUUUAUUUUUAAAAAUAAUACAAAACAAUAAAAUUCUACCUUGAAGGAUAGUUGUGAAGAUCAAAUUAGCCACAGUACUUACAAUAGUCAUUGGUAUAUAUUAGUGGUUGUUCAAUUAAUGUCAAUGUCUUUCACUCAUAUACAAAUAAAUAGAUAAAAGUUCUUUAAAUUUCUAUUUCUUUCACACAGUUAUCAUUUAACAGUAAUUGAGAAAAUAGUGAUUAUAAUAGAAAACAUGGAUUUAGAAAUUAUCAUUCCUGUGUCUGCCAUUAUUUGAUUUGGAUUUCACUCUAUAUCCCUAGGUCUAAAAAUCUAAUGUAAUUUGAAGAACUAUUGUUAUUAAAAAUAACCACUGAUUGAGAGAGGAUAGUUUUGAGUGUGUAUGUAUAUAUAUUAUAACAUAUAUAUGAAUAUAUAUAUUUGAAUAUAUACUGAAAAUAUAUUUGAACUGUAACAUUAUAAACAAUACUGAAAACUAUCUUUUUUCUCUCAUAUAUAUGUAUCAUAUAUAUGUAUAUGUAUACUGAAUGUAUAUGUAUGUUUACUGAAUACAUAUAUUCAUAUAUGAAUACAUACAUACUGAAUACACAUAUAUACUGAAUAUAUAUACUGUAAAAUAUGCUGAAUAUACAUAUAUACGGAAUACAUGUAUACUGUAAAAUAUACUGAAUAUAUAUAUAUACAUAUAUAUAUAUAUACACACAAAUAUAUACUAUAAAAUUAAAACCAAUACUGAAACUAUCUUCUUGCUCUCAAUUACAUAUACGUAUUCCUAAGUAUUGGUAAUUAAAGAUGACUAAUCAAUAUCGUUUCAAGUUAUCAUCUGUGAUCCUUUGCUUAGUGCAGCAGCUCUCAAUCUGGAUAAUACAUAGAAUUACUUGGUCACUUUUCAGAAAAACACUAAUGCAACCACUCCUCCCCUACAGGAAAUGGUAGCUAUAAUAUAUUCCAGAAGAUUUUAUUAUGCAGCCAGUGGAGAGAAUCAUGGCUUUGUGGGAAAUCUGUGCAGGUUUUUAAUCAGAGUAUAUACUUGUUAAUGUAUUGUAAAAUCUUUCCUUAACCAGUGUUCUUUAAUUAUUUUUGUGGAUAAAGUCUCCAUUUGUUUUCAGUUGAUGAUCUUUGAGUCGCCAUUAAUAAUAAUGUCGUUCAAUUUCCAAAGGAAUUGGAAUUUAUAACUGAGGAUCCUUGAAUAAUAAUAUGUCAUCAUUUAAGAAAUAACUUUAAUUGAAAUUUUAAAAAUCAGAUAAGCUUUAAAAGUUGUUUGAUAAAUAUACUGCUCAAAAUAAAUAUAUUAUAAUUCAUGCACAGCACUAAAUCUGAUGUGAAAAAUUUCUCUCAGCAUAGAUACAUCACUAUUUCAGUAUUACAAAUUGAAAUUUCCAUCUUGAGGUGCGAAUGUUUUUUAUCAUUUGGCUUAUAAUUAUUUCAAUUAAAUCAAUGAAAUGUUUUUGCACAAAUGACUAUGAGGUAUUAUGUAUGUAUUAUAGCAAAUGAACUUUAAGGUAAUACUUAAAAUAACUGUAGUGGAAAUAUUAAGUUGGAAUAUUUUAAUGCUUUUUUAAGUAUCACAAUAUACUAUAACCACAAAGUGGCUAAUAUCAUUGCCAUUAUUCCUGAUUAAAACAUAAAGUUAGCUAUAGCUACAAAAAUAAUACUUAACAUUAAAAGGAGAUUUGUUCCUUUUGUUUUUAAAGGGUGGCCGCAAUAAAGGUGAGAUUACAAAAACAGAAUAGGAUCUUGGUUUUAAGAGAGAGAUUCAAUGUUGUUCUGUGAUAUUCAAAUACUUGUCUACGGGUAAAUAUAUCCCACAUAGGCAUAUGUAUGCUCAAAUACAAGCAGAAUAUGGAAAGCCCACAUACAAGGAAUGGUGAUCUCUGGCCAAUGGUUAGUGAGACCUACCAACAACCACACAAAUGCGUUUGGAAGGGCAUUCUCAGCUCAGACAAGCUUUGAGAUGCCUGUAGUCCUGGACAACAGUUUGACUGCAAUUUUGUGAGAGAACCUGAGCCAGAACCUCCCAGCAAUGUUGCUCCAAGAUUCCUGACCUAUAGAAACUGUGAGAUAAGAUAAAAAUGUUAUGGUUUUAGGCUGCUAAGUUUUGGGGUCAUUUGUUAUGCAUUUCUCAAUGACUAAUAUACCUAUUCUUAUUGCGGCUUCUGCUACCCUCCUAUAGAGUAGAGAAUAGGAUUCCACACUGGAGAUAUUAGAGAACAGAAGAGUUUGCCAGGUAAAGAAGGAAGAGGGAGGACAGGCUUUAUAUCUCCUAAUCUCUUUGAUUUACUUUAUGUUUAUGCUAAUGAAGUGAUGUCAGCUUUUACUAAACAUCCCUGAUCUGCUCUUGCUCAUAUUAUGCUUUUCCUCUGGGUUUCACUCUACCACACUCAUGUCUAUAUAUUUUUUUAUCCUUCCUUCUACUUUCAACUCAGAGAUUGAUUUGUUAUGUGAAUCAAUGAUUCAUUUUAUAAUUUUCUCCAGUUGAAGCAAUAUUAUUCUCAUUUGUACUACCAAAGAAAACUGCAGGGGUGCCUGGGUGGCUCAGUCGGUUAAGCAUCUGACUCUUGAUUUCCGUUCAGGUCAUGAUCUCAUGGUUCGUAGGAUCCAGCCUAACGUCAGGCUUUGCACUGACAGCACGGUGCCUACUUAGGGUUCUCUCUCCCCUCUAUGUCUCUGCCCCUUCCCUGUGCAUGCUUUCUCUCUCAAACAAAUAAGUGAACUUAAAAAAAAACCUGCACAUUUCCUCCUCACUUUUCAUUGUUGGCCUUGUUUGAUCAUGAUUGGGUACAGGUUUCUCAAUCAGAUUUUAAGCUCUGAGAGAAGCAUCUAUGAAUGAAUUGUUUGUUUUCUCAUUCCCAGUACUUGUAGGAUUGAACUGAAUUAAAAUAAGCUGUGGACAUUAAAGAAGUCAUAGGGUCACCCAUACUAAAAUUAUAGUCAUGUCCUUGUAUUUCUUUAUGUUCAAUAUAAUGUAGAGGAGUAACUCAGUUUUGGAAUCAGAAGGAGAUAAUAUCACUUGGAUUAACCAGAUUGUAAUUAGAUAGGCUCGGGUCUGUUUUUCUUUUCUUUACUUAAAAAAGAAUCCUGGGGUGCCUGUGUCGCUUAGUCAGUUGAGCAUCCAGCUCUUAGUUUGGGCUCCAGUCAUGAUCCCAGGGUCACGGGAUUGAGCCCCGUGUUGGGCUCUGCGCUAAUUGUGGGGCCUACUUAACAUUAAAAAUCCUGGGUCUGGGGCACCUGGGUGGUGCUCUCAGUUGGUUAAGCACCCAACUCUUCAUUUCAGCUCAGAUGAUGAUCUCACGGUUCCUGAGAUGGAGCCCCACGUCAGGCUUGUUGUUGACAUGGAGCCUGCUUGGGAUUUUAUUUCUCCCCCUUUCUCUGUCCCCCACCCCAUACUCUCACUCUUUCUCUCUCUCUCAAAAUAAAUAAAUAAAUAUUUUUUAAAAAUCCUGGGCCUAUUUUCCCAUAUAUAUAUAUGUAUAUGUAUGUAUAUAGAUAGAUAGAUAGAUAGAUAGAUAGAUAGAUAGAUAAAUGUAGAAUGUAGAUGUUUAUAGAAUGGGUCAACUCUUUUGAAUUAAUCAUGUCAGAAUCUUGCCUGGAAACUGCAUCAAGGCAGCCAGCCAAUUAGCAUGUAAUUCCUAGGCAAAACAAAAUUUAACACUCAUUCUUUUUCAAGUAGGUAUUGCAGGAUAAGAAAAUGCCACACUUCACAUGGUAUUCAUAUGCUGAAAUUGCUAGGUUUUGAGGCUAACAGAACUAUUUAUUCAGUAAAUGGAACUUAUGGACAAGUGCUUAUAAAUGGCCAAAAAGUUCAGGUUUGUAUCAAUUAAUUUCUCAGAAGAUUUUUUUCCCUUAAACAAAACAUCAUGAAUGCACAGCUGCAGAAUAUGUGAAAAACAGUUUAAUGGUAUACUCUUCAAUCAAUGAGGCAUUUACGAAAUGCACAUAGCAUUGUUUCAGCAAGUAGCCUGGAAAUAAACUCAGAAUUUGGACUAAUUCCAAUAGUCUCAGAGAUUAAAAAAAAAAUCAGCUAUACCUGUGGGAGUUUGUUUACAGACCCUCAAGUAAUAAAGGGCAAUAUGCCCUAUUCUGGGGAUUUGGGGGCUGCUAUGAGAGAUAAAGGCAGUGUUUUCAUAAUCCAGGCAAAAGCUCUUUUAGAUACAUCAAAAUUCACAUUUGGGGCAAAAUCAAUAAUGAUAAAUGAUAAUGUUCUUUUUUUUUUUUUGGUCUAAUAAACUGCACUGCAAAGAGAUACAUAGCAAGCUUAGAAAUACUAAUUGUUGAUGAAUAUUCAUUUCCUAGAAGAGCUUAUAUUAGUGGAAAUUAAAUUCAAAGCAUGCUUGUAAAUACCUUGAGCAUCUUUUUUUUUUUAAAAAAAGGUGGUAUAAAUUGUCACAUUGACAACAUUAUUAUUUUUUGUUGAUGUUGUUCCUCAAACUACCUCAGAUUUGCCACUUUAAAAAAGUAAAUCUUUAUAUUCCUUUCUGAGAAUGAAACAUAUCUAAAAUAAUUCAUACCAUCUUGCGCUGUAGCUGACUACCAAAGCAGUCUUUGUCUAGAGUGAGGCCAUGUUGUGGGGAGAGCAAUCUGAUAGGAGUGAAAAGUUCUAGUUCCAGCAAGACUGUUCUAGUCUGGAUUCUGGACAUGGCUCUUACUUUUGGGAGCUUUCAGACACUGAGUCUCACCCUGUCAUUCACUUAUUCCUCUGAGUUGCUCUUUGCAUAUGUCAGCAAUGACAUAAAUAUUUAUUAUGGGGUUACCAUGUGCCAGGCACUGUGCUUCAUGCUUCCAAAAAAAUUUGAAUAAGAUAGACAUAGUGGUGGUGCUUGUAGAGCAUAUAGCCUCAUGGGUGAGUGAGACAAUUCAAUAGACUCUGACUGUAAUUGCAAUAAAAUGACAGGAGAAUUAAAUGUUGCUCUGGGCACACAUAGCUACAGUGCUUUACACAAGGCCAGGUGAAAGAAAACCCAACAAAGAAGAAGUGCCAUUUAAGCUGUGAGCUGAGGGAUAAGAUAACAUGUGUAAAGCAAAAUGCACCCAUGGACCAUUAUUAUUUGACAAAUUGUCUCCAUUUAAUGAGCCAAAAAUGACGAUUGAAUUCACAGGUCUACUUUUUGGGUGACAUUAUUCAUAUCAGCAGUUGAAAAUGAUUAAAUCCAUUUCAUUUUAUGAGGAAACUUCAGUAUUUCUGGUGAAAGAGCAUGUUCUCAUUUAUAAAAGUACAUGGGGAGAACUUAAUGGCAUUCCUAUGUUCUAUAUGGUGGGUGAAUUUCUUUUGUUAAUCUAAGUUUACAUAAUAACAUUCUAUGAGAUACUUGAAAUUAUUCCAAAUUGGGCAAUUCUUACUUGAGAAAAACAUAAUUUAAUUGAAGCUUACUAUAUCUUCUUGUUUUUUUUAAUUAUAUUAAAUAUAUUAAUAUUUUUAUAUUAUAGGGUGUUGUAAUUUCCACCAAUAACUUCAUUGCAAAGCUAAUAAUUCUCCUACUCCCCUUCUCUUCUCCUCUCCCAUACGUAAUCAGUAGUCAGAAAUAAUAGUAGAGGGUUUCUGAAGUGAAAAUAAAAAUGUUGCAACCUCUUUCACUGUACUGGGAUGAAAUGAAGAUCUAAUACAUCAAUAACAAUUUAAAUUAAUAACAAAUAGGCAAAGAGAAAAAGAAAUUCAUUGUGAGGACCAUGGCCCUGGACACCUAUGUCUUCUGUGGGGAAAAGUGGAGAAGAGGGUCAGAGCCACAUCAGGAGAAAAAAAAAGUUUAAAUUAAGACUCCCUGAGAGACUUCAAUAAGGGUAUGAUUAGUUCAGCAUUGCUUUUAUUCUGCACUUCCCCCUCCCACUGUAGACUUCAGUUUUAAUAAUGAUUAAAGAAUAAUGCUUGAAUCCCA